AACGCUGGCGGCAAGCCUAACACAUGCAAGUCGAACGGUCAAUUAUUUAUAGCCUCUGGCUAUAGGAAAUUGUUAGUGGCAGACGGGUGAGUAAUGCGUAGGAAUCUACCUAGUAGUACGGAAUAGCCAUUAGAAAUGGUGGGUAAUACUGUAUAAUCCCCGAGGGGGAAAGAUUUAUCGCUAUUAGAUGAGCCUACGUUAGAUUAGCUAGUUGGUGAGGUAAUGGCUUACCAAGGCUAUGAUCUAUAGCUGGUCUGAGAGGACGAUCAGCCACACUGGAACUGAGAUACGGUCCAGACUCCUACGGGAGGCAGCAGUGGGGAAUAUUGGACAAUGGGCGAAAGCCUGAUCCAGCUAUGCCGCGUGAGUGAAGAAGGC
rnacentral:rRNA from 1 species